UCCCGCUUCCUGACGCACCUGUCUGUUCCUGUCUCAGGGUCUGUUUGGUGGAAAACCAACCUAGGAAAAUGUCAAAUGGAGACAUUGUAUCUGUCUAAAACACCUCACAGUGGAUUUUUUAAAAGACAUUUUAUGAAGAGUAAAUCCAGAAAAGUAAGGUCUAAAUAGGAAGAGUCGUGUUUUGCAUGCCAAGUCUAACGGCCAUUUUCUCUGAGAGGUGACGAACGCGUGGCCACCUACCCCUCUGUGGACAACGCGGCAGGUCAAAGUGGUAAAACGGGGACAGGUUUAAAUGAAGAGAGGGAAGUGAUCCAAUGGCCUCUUAUCCUCCACGAGGUGUUAAAGCCUCAAUCAAGGUCCUCACAGAGCAGGACCAGCUCACCCCAGCCCUGCUCUGGGGUAGAAGUCCAGUGAGAAUCUUCAACAAUGGGAGUCAUUCAAGCUGCUACUCUGUCAUCAGGAUUGAAGAUGAUACACUAGUUUGGGGACCCAAAUAUUUUAAUAGUACUUCAGUUGAAAAGAAAACCUAAAUGGUAAAUAACAGCCAUCAUUUAAAUUACAAACUAGAUCUAAACGCAGAUUGCAUUUCCUGGAGGAAUAUCCAAUGUAUAAAAACCUCUAGGGAUUACUACUGCCAGAAAGAAGUCUUAAAAAAAAAUGAUGUCUGUAAGCCACAAGAUCAAGAACACCUUACAAUGAUUCUUUGAAGACCUAGUAGGAAGUGAGGAAGUGAUGGAGGUCUUGCCCUGAAUCUGGUUCGCAGCCUCAAGGAGAAAAUGAGUGGGCAUCCCUUGACUUGGUUUUUCUGUUAAUAAUUAGCUUCAGUUUUACUGUUUGCCAUUCCUGACGUCACAUCUCAUUCUCUCUGUUUUUCAUGAAUCAUGCCCCACAAUUUUUGGAUAUAACGUAAUAAAUUAUAGGCUAUGGCUUCUGGCCAACAAAACUCUGCCUUCACUUAUUUUAAGGUACCAUCAUUAGUAGAUCCUUCUGGAUGUUAUUUACCCACCACCCACUGCUGAGUCCUUAAUCACAGCAUUUUUAUUUUCCUUGUUCUUGGAAGGAGACAAAAAAAGGGUCAAUUCAAGGUUUACAAAGAACGGUCUCCUGUCAUGAGGCAGAUACCCUUUUCUUCUUUUAUGCAUAUUCUGUUAUCUCCGUAGAACACAAACAGAAUGGUUUUUGUGUCAUUUGCAGUUAUUACUCAAGUUCCAUUGUAUACUUGGCUACUCAAAGCAUAAGAAAGAUUAUAUUUUGCCUAAGAUUUUCAAGUCCAAAUGGGAAAAGAAGCAUUUUCCAUGCCACUGCCAGAUCUCAUGUGGGAAAAGAUGUUUAAACACUAAGAACGUCAUACACUGUUGAUAUUAUGUAUGAACAGAUAGCUCACGGGGACCUACUGCACAGCGCAGGGGAUUCUGCUGAGUGCUCUGUGGUGAUCUAAAUGGGAAGAACACCCGAAAGGGAGGCAGAUGUGUAUGUAUCUGCUUGAUUCAUUUUGCUGUACAGUAGAAGCUGACAAACAUUGACCUAUUUGAAAUAUUUAAACUGAAUGUCCAUUAACACACAGAAGGCUUUUGCUGAACAAUGACAUCUAAAUUCUAAAGAAUUGGAAGAGUAUCACUGUUCUGACCCAUGAACUUGGCCUGACACAUCCUGUCACUUGACACCGUGUUCUCAUCACAGGAACUUCCAGCUUGAUGUUGAAAAGGCAUAGUGAGGCUUCCAGUAUGAUGCUGAAAAGGCGUGGUGAGCGGGGACACCCAUACUUUGCUCCUGAUCUUAGGAUCAUGCCCUCCAGCAGCUCAGGAGGUAAGA